GACGAACGCUGGCGGCGUGCUUAACACAUGCAAGUCGAGCGGUAAGGCCCUUUCGGGGGUACACGAGCGGCGAACGGGUGAGUAACACGUGGGUGACCUGCCCUCAGCUCUGGGAUAAGCCUGGGAAACCGGGUCUAAUACUGGAUAUGACUCCAUGACGCAUGGUUGUGGGGUGGAAAGCCUUGUGCGGCUGAGGAUGGGCCC
rnacentral:rRNA from 1 species